rnacentral:rRNA from 1 species
AUUGAACGCUGGCGGCAUGCCUUACACAUGCAAGUCGAACGGCAGCACGGGAGCUUGCUCCUGGUGGCGAGUGGCGAACGGGCGAGUAAUACAUCGGAACGUACCCUGAAGUGGGGGAUAACGUAGCGAAAGUUACGCUAAUACCGCAUAUUCUGUGAGCAGGAAAGAGGGGGAUCGCAAGACCUCUUGCUUUAGGAGCGGCCGAUGUCGGAUUAGCUAGUUGGUGAGGUAAAGGCUCACCAAGGCGACGAUCCGUAGCGGGUCUGAGAGGAUGAUCCGCCACACUGGGACUGAGACACGGCCCAGACUCCUACGGGAGGCAGCAGUGGGGAAUUUUGGACAAUGGGCGCAAGCCUGAUCCAGCCAUGCCGCGUGAGUGAAGAAGGCCU